AUGUGUGUCCCGAAAAGCCAAGGUGGAACGGGCUUUCGUGACAUUCAUUGUUUUAAUUUGACGAUGUUGGCUAAACAAGCUUGGCGUCUCCUUGAGAACCCAGAUUCCUUGUGUGCCACCAUUUUGCGAGCUAAGUAUUUUUCUGAUGGAGAUUUAUUGAACGCAAAGUUAAAAAAGGGAUCAUCCUUCACAUGGCAAAGUAUUAUGGCGGGGGUUAAUACCUUAAAACAUGGCUAUAAUUGGCGUGUUGGAAAUGGUCAGAAAAUUGACAUCAGGGAAGAUGUUUGGAUCCCUAACUGUGCUAACAGGAAAGUCAUCACUCCAAAGGGACAACAUUUGUUAUCAAAAGUGUCUGAUCUCAUUGACCCCUCUUCGAACAGGUGGGAUGAGGAUCUCAUCAGACAGACCUUGUGGCAUGUUGAUUUAUAG
rnacentral:rRNA from 1 species